rnacentral:rRNA from 1 species
GAUGAACGCUGGCGGCGUGCCUAAUACAUGCAAGUCGAGCGAACAGACGAGGAGCUUGCUCCUUCGACGUUAGCGGCGGACGGGUGAGUAACACGUAGGUAACCUACCUAUAAGACUGGGAUAACUUCGGGAAACCGGAGCUAAUACCGGAUAAUAUUUCGAACCGCAUGGUUCGAUGGUGAAAGAUGGCUUUGCUAUCACUUAUAGAUGGUCCUGCGCCGUAUUAGCUAGUUGGUAAGGUAACGGCUUACCAAGGCAACGAUACGUAGCCGACCUGAGAGGGUGAUCGGCCACACUGGAACUGAGACACGGUCCAGACUCCUACGGGAGGCAGCAGUAGGGAAUCUUCCGCAAUGGGCGAAAGCCUGACGGAGCAACGCCGCGUGAGUGAUGAAGGUCUUCGGAUCGUAAAACUCUGUUAUUAGGGAAGAACAAACGUGUAAGUAACUGUGCACGUCUUGACGGUACCUAAUCAGAAAGCCACGGCUAACUACGUG